rnacentral:lncRNA from 1 species
UGGAAUGGAUAGAAAAUACUUGUAUUUUGUGUAGAAUUUCCAGCCAAGCAGAACAGCGAGAACAUACUUAGCCCUGCGUGCUGGUACCAAAGAGCAGUGCUGAAACAAGCCCUCCAAUUUCCAAUGCGUGGAAGUUCUUGCUGCCCCGACUUUUCAGCUUCUGACCUAGCCCUGGAAAUCAGGUAUCAUACGAGACCAGACCUAGAGAGUGUCUGCUCCCUUGACGGGAUCUGAGAACCCCUGGUUUUAUGUAAUAUGUCUCUUCAAAUCUAGAUUGUUAAGUGGCAUAGGCUUGGGGGCGGGGAUAGGGGCGGAAGGGAAUUGGUCUCAACAUAAUUUUUUAUUCCAAUAUAAAACUUCUUGCUUUUACUAUUUAAAAUUUUUCUUUGCCAGUGGCUGACUAGCUUGAAGUCUUUGAAACACUGAGCUUUCUAUAAAAUCCAAAUAAUUCUCUGUAAAUCAAAGUACUUGGCAUGCUUGCUGCAAAGCCUGAAGGUUUUUUUUUCCUUUUUUUUUUUUUUUUUUAAGGUAAUCUCUAGAAAGUAGUUUGUACUCA